CACUGUUGGUUAUGUGUGCCCAAGCAUUGAGGCAGUCAAAGUAGGCAAAUCCGCUUUGAUAAUGCUGGGAUGUGAUGGGGAGCGAAAUUUAGUAGCGAAGUAGCUGAUUUCACACUGUCAAGAAAAGUCUCUAUCGAGGGUAAAGGUACCCGUACCGCAAACCGACACAGGUGGGUGAGGAGAGUAUCCUAAGGCCAGCGAGAGAACUGUUGUUAAGGAACUCGGCAAAAUGACCCCGUAACUUAGGGAUAAGGGGUGCCACCAUCAGGUGGCCGCAGAGAAUAGGCCCAAGCGACUGUUUACCAAAAACAUAGGUUUCUGCUAAGUCGCAAGACGAUGUAUAGGAGCUGACGCCUGCCCGGUGCUGGAAGGUUAAGGGGAUCUGUUAGAGCAAUCGAAGCAGUGAACUUAAGCCCCAGUAAACGGCGGCCGUAACUAUAACG
rnacentral:rRNA from 1 species